UGGGGAAUAUUGGGCAAUGGGCGCAAGCCUGACCCAGCAACGCCGCGUGAGGGAAGAAGGCUUUCGGGUUGUAAACCUCUGUCCUUGGUGACGAAACACAUGACGGUAGCCAAGGAGGAAGCCCCGGCUAACUACGUGCCAGCAGCCGCGGUAAUCCGUAGGGGGAGCGCGUUGUCCGGAAUUACUGGGCGUAAAGGGUGCGUAGGUGGCCUUUUAAGUUGGAAGUGAAAUACCCGGGCUUAACUUGGGGGGUGCAUCUAAUACUGGAGGGCUAGAGUGCAGGAGAGGAAAGCGGAAUUCCUGGUGUAGCGGUGAAAUGCGUAGAUAUUAGGAGGAACACCAGUGGCGAAGGCGGCUUUCUGGACUGUAACUGACACUGAGGCACGAAAGCGUGGGGAGCAAACA
rnacentral:rRNA from 1 species